GCGGCGAACGGGUGAGUAACACGUGGGCAACCUGCCCUCAGCUCUGGGAUAACUCCAAGAAAUUGGUGCUAAUACCGGAUGUGACCGCUGACCGCAUGGUCUGGUGGUGGAAAGAUUCAUCGGCUGAGGAUGGGCCCGCGGCCUAUCAGCUUGUUGGUGGGGUGAUGGCCUACCAAGGCGACGACGGGUAGCCGGCCUGAGAGGGUGACCGGCCACACUGGGACUGAGACACGGCCCAGACUCCUACGGGAGGCAGCAGUGGGGAAUAUUGCGCAAUGGGCGAAAGCCUGACGCAGCGACGCCGCGUGAGGGAUGACGGCCUUCGGGUUGUAAACCUCUUUCAGUAGGGACGAAGCGAAAGUGACGGUACCUACAGAAGAAGCACCGGCCAACUACGUGCCAGCAGCCGCGGUAAUACGUAGGGUGCAAGCGUUGUCCGGAAUUAUUGGGCGUAAAGAGCUCGUAGGCGGUCUGUCGCGUCGGCUGUGAAAACCCGAGGCUCAACCUCGGGCCUGCAGUCGAUACGGGCAAACUAGAGUACUGCAGGGGAGACUGGAAUUCCUGGUGUAGCGGUGAAAUGCGCAGAUAUCAGGAGGAACACCGGUGGCGAAGGCGGGUCUCUGGGCAGUAACUGACGCUGAGGAGCGAAAGCGUGGGGAGCGAACAGGAUUAGAUACCCUGGUAGUCCACGCCGUAAACGUUGGGCGCUAGGUGUGGGGGCCAUUCCACGGUCU
rnacentral:rRNA from 1 species